GUGGAUUAAUCGAUGCAACGCGAAGAACCUUACCUACCCUUGACAGUGUCCGGAACUUGCCAGAGAUGGCUUAGGUGCCCGAAAGGGAAUCGGAACACAGGUGCUGCAUGGCUGUCGUCAGCUCGUGUCGUGAGAUGUUGGUUAAGUCCCGCAACGAGCGCAACCCUUAUCAUUAGUUGCUACGCAAGGGCACUCUAAUGAGACUGCCGGUGACAAACCGGAGGAAGUGGGGAUGACGUCAAGUCCUCAUGGCCCUUAUGGGUAGGGCUUCACACGUCAUACAAUGGUCGGUACAGAGGGUUGCCAAGCCGCGAGGCGGAGCCAAUCCCACAAAGCCGAUCGUAGUCCGGAUUGUUCUCUGCAACUCGAGAGCAUGAAGUCGGAAUCGCUAGUAAUCGCAGGUCAGCAUACUGCGGUGAAUACGUUCCCGGGUCUU
rnacentral:rRNA from 1 species